GUUCCCUCUUAAAGCAAGAUUUAUGAUGUAAAAAUCAUAAAUUACAUCGAUGAUAUACGGUGUAUCUCAUCAAGGAUUUCAACUGCAACGAGUCCCUUUCCAGGCAUUGUUUAUGUCUCAGUCAGUGUCUUUACUGUAACAUUCGACACAACAAGAAGAUUGGACAGGAGGACAGAAACUGUGCUUUUGAAAACUGACAACAGAACCUAAUCCUACUUCUGGCCACACAUCAAGCAGUACCAGUACUUUAGAACACUUCCUGUGCAAACACCACCAAGAUUGGACACAGCUGGACAAACAUAUCAUUUUGUGAAGAUCAUGCAGUUUUGCAAUGAAG
ensembl:lncRNA